CCGUAAAAGACUUAAAACCGCACACGUAUCGACACCACGACCUGGGUGCCUUCGGGUUGGUCGCGGGGAUGCGUGGAGGCCCAAC
rnacentral:sRNA from 1 species